rnacentral:lncRNA from 1 species
UUGUUAAUUCGCUAUCAAGAAACUCUAAAAAAAUCUUCGAUUGCCUAAAAACUAUCAAAGAUUUGCACCAAAAAUUUCCUUACCUGGUUAAGGCUUUACCUCUACGUCUGGGGAGAGUAUGUUGCUCUCAAUCCAGUAGUGAAUCCAGGUUACGAUCAAUCAGUUUAAAAAGCUAAUACACAAUCGAUAUCGUAACAAUUAAGACUUGAUCUAACUUGUGUAUCUUUGUUAUGCAGCUUCUACAAGUACCUCAAUCACAAAGCAAUGUUGAGAACCUUUCAGACAGAUCGCAAGCGUCUUCGCGAGUCUUGGAAGCAAACUUAUAUGGAGAAGAAGACGAACACCAAGGAACAAAGUCAAAGUGCAAUUUGUGGCUGGAACUAUGUGUUCGAUUGUAUGUGGACAAUCUAUGAGCAUAAACUAAAGAACACACUGUUAACGGUGUUUGUUUACUACAUCUACAGGACCACGUUCAGAAUUCAUUAACUAGAAAACACCG